UAGGGAAUCUUCGGCAAUGGACGAAAGUCUGACCGAGCAACGCCGCGUGAGUGAAGAAGGUUUUCGGAUCGUAAAACUCUGUUGUUAGAGAAGAACAAGGACGUUAGUAACUGAACGUCCCCUGACGGUAUCUAACCAGAAAGCCACGGCUAACUACGUGCCAGCAGCCGCGGUAAUACGUAGGUGGCAAGCGUUGUCCGGAUUUAUUGGGCGUAAAGCGAGCGCAGGCGGUUUCUUAAGUCUGAUGUGAAAGCCCCCGGCUCAACCGGGGAGGGUCAUUGGAAACUGGGAGGCUUGAGUGCAGAAGAGGAGAGUGGAAUUCCAUGUGUGGCGGUGAAAUGCGUAGAUAUAUGGAGGAACACCAGUGGCGAAGGCGGCUCUCUGGUCUGUAACUGACGCUGAGGCUCGAAAGCGUGGGGAGCAAACAGG
rnacentral:rRNA from 1 species